ACACACGCUGGUCUAAAUCGCGA
rnacentral:siRNA from 1 species